CCUACGGGAGGCAGCAGUGAGGAAUAUUGGUCAAUGGACGAGAGUCUGAACCAGCCAAGUAGCGUGAAGGAUGACUGCCCUAUGGGUUGUAAACUUCGUUUGUAGAGGAAUAAAACGAGGCACGUGUGCCUUUUUGCAUGGACUUUAUGAGUAAAGAUCGGCUAACUCCGUGCCAGCAGCCGCGGUAAUACGGAGGAUCCGAGCGUUAUCCGGAUUUAUUGGGUUUAAAGGGAGCGUAGAUGGGUUGUUAAGUCAGUUGUGAAAGUCUGCGGCUCAACCGUAAAAUUGCAAUUGAUACUGGCAGUCUGGAGUACAGUUGAGGUAGGCGGAAUUCGUGGUGUAGCGGUGAAAUGCUUAGAUAUCACGAAGAACCCCGAUGGCGAAGGCAGCUUACUAAACUGUGACUGACAUUGAUGCUCGAAAGUGUGGGUAGCAAACAGGAUUAGAUACCCGAGUAGUC
rnacentral:rRNA from 1 species